CCCUAAACGAUGCGAACUGGAUGUUGGGUGCAAUUUGGCACGCAGUAUCGAAGCUAACGCGUUAAGUUCGCCGCCUGGGGAGUACGGUCGCAAGACUGAAACUCAAAGGAAUUGACGGGGGCCCGCACAAGCGGUGGAGUAUGUGGUUUAAUUUGAUGCAACGCGAAGAACCUUACCUGGCCUUGACAUGUCGAGAACUUUCCAGAGAUGGAUCGGUGCCUUCGGGAACUCGAACACAGGUGCUGCAUGGCUGUCGUCAGCUCGUGUCGUGAGAUGUUGGGUUAAGUCCCGCAACGAGCGCAACCCUUGUCCUUAUUUGCCAGCACGUAAUGGUGGGAACUCUAAGGAGACCGCCGGUGACAAACCGGAGGAAGGUGGGGAUGAAGUCAAGUUAUCAUGGCCCUUACGGCCAGGGGCUACACACGUAGUACAAUGGUAGGGACAGAGGGGUGCAAGCCGGGGACGGUAAGCCAAUCCCAGAAACCCUAUUUCAGUCCGGAUUGGAGUUUGCAACUUGACUCCAUGAAGUUGGAAUCGCUAGUAAUCGCAGAUCAGCAUUGCUGCGGUGAAUACGUUCCCGGGCCUUGUACACACCGCCCGUCACACCAUGGGAGUUUGUUGCACNCAGAAGCAGGUAGCUUAACCUUCAGGAGGGCGCUUGCCACGGUGUGNCNNAAGACNGGGGGUGAAAUC
rnacentral:rRNA from 1 species